GACGAACGCUGGCGGCGUGCCUAAUACAUGCAAGUUGAGCGCUGAAGGUUGGUACUUGUACCAACUGGAUGAGCAGCGAACGGGUGAGUAACGCGUGGGGAAUCUGCCUUUGAGCGGGGGACAACAUUUGGAAACGAAUGCUAAUACCGCAUAAAAACUUUAAACACAAGUUUUAAGUUUGAAAGAUGCAAUUGCAUCACUCAAAGAUGAUCCCGCGUUGUAUUAGCUAGUUGGUGAGGUAAAGGCUCACCAAGGCGAUGAUACAUAGCCGACCUGAGAGGGUGAUCGGCCACAUUGGGACUGAGACACGGCCCAAACUCCUACGGGAGGCAGCAGUAGGGAAUCUUCGGCAAUGGACGAAAGUCUGACCGAGCAACGCCGCGUGAGUGAAGAAGGUUGUCGGAUCGUAAAACUCUGUUGGUAGAGAAGAACGUUGGUGAGAGUGGAAAGCUCAUCAAGUGACAGUAACUACCCAGAAAGGGACGGCUAACUACGUG
rnacentral:rRNA from 1 species